UACAGAGGUCUCAAGCGUUGUUCGGAUUCAUUGGGCGUAAAGGGUGUGUAGGUGGCGCGCUAAGUCGGGUGUGAAAUUUCGGAGCUUAACUCCGAAACUGCAUUCGAUACUGCGGUGCUUGAGGACUGGAGAGGAGACUGGAAUUCAUGGUGUAGCAGUGAAAUGCGUAGAGAUCAUAGGAAGACCAGUGGCGAAGGCGGGUCUCUGGACAGUUCCUGACACUGAGACGAAGGCCAGGGGAGCAAACGGGAUUAGAACGUACCUAGUAAGUCCAAGAC
rnacentral:rRNA from 1 species